AGCGAACGCUGGCGGCAGGCUUAACACAUGCAAGUCGAACGCCCCGCAAGGGGAGUGGCAGACGGGUGAGUAACACGUGGGAACGUACCCUUUGGUUCGGAAUAACUUGGGGAAAAUCCAGCUAAUACAGGAUAAGCCCUUAUGGGGAAAGGUUUACUGCCGAAGGAUCGGCCCGCGUCUGAUUAGCUAGUUGGUGAGGUAAUGGCUCACCAAGGCGACGAUCAGUAGCUGGUCUGAGAGGAUGAUCAGCCACACUGGGACUGAGACACGGCCCAGACUCCUACGGGAGGCAGCAGUGGGGAAUAUUGGACAAUGGGGGCAACCCUGAUCCAGCCAUGCCGCGUGAGUGAUGAAGGCCUUAGGGUUGUAAAGCUCUUUUACCCGGGACGAUAAUGACUGUACCGGGAGAAUAAGCCCCGGCUAACUUCGUGCCAGCAGCCGCCGUAA
rnacentral:rRNA from 1 species